ACGCUGGCGGCGUGGCUAAGACAUGCAAGUCGAACGGACUAUACAAUUGAGUAAUCGAGAGUAUAGUUAGUGGCGAAAGGGUUAGUAAUGGAUAGGUAACGUACCCUUGUGCUUCGGGAUAGCGUCUGAUUGCUUCGGCAAUCUUCCGAAAGGGGCGGUAAUACCGAAUAAUAUCAUGUGUUGAUAGGCAUAUGAUCAAAGAUUUAUCGGCAUAGGAGCGGCCUAUCUCCUAUCAGCUUGUUGGUGAGGUAAAAGCUCACCAAGGCUUUGACGGGUAGCGGGACUGAGAGGUUGACCCGCAACAUCGGGACUGAGACACUGCCCGGACCUCCACGGAGGGCUGCAGUAACGAAUCUUGCGCAAUGGGCGAAAGCCUGACGCAGCGACGCCGCGUGUAGGAAGAAGUCCUUCGGGAUGUAAACUACUGUCAGGGAUAUAAAAGUUCACUUCGGUGGAUUGAUCUGUCCCAGAGGAAGUCACGGCUAACUUCGUGCCAGCAGCCGCGGUAAGACGAAGGUGGCUAGCGUUGUUCGGUGUCACUGGGCUUAAAGCGUGUGCAGGCGGAAAAGUAAGCGUCUUGUGAAAGCCCUCGGCUUAGCCGAGGAACUGCUGGACGAACUACUUUUCUUGAGGCAGGCAGGGGUGCACGGAAACUCUUGGUGGAGCGGUGAAAUGCGUAGAUAUCAAGAGGAACGCCAGUGGUGAAGACGGUGCACUGGGCCUGAUCUGACGCUCAGACACGAAAGCGUGGGGAGCGAACGGGAUUAGAUACCCCGGUAGUCCACGCCGUAAACGAUGUCUACUAGGUUGUGGGAGUUCUGACGCUAUCAC
rnacentral:rRNA from 1 species